AAUAAAGCGACUCGCAAAUUUCGGUUUUCAGAAAGUGUGGUCGCGUUUCAGGUUCAAGAACAUUUGUGCGUCGUUUAAAAUACAUCGAUUUACAGAUACAUCUAGAUACAUGGUUUGGCAUCCAAAUUUUGAGCACUUCCUGGUACUUUUAAUGUGAUGAAUGUGUGUGACCUCUCUGCUUUCUGAAGCACCAGAAUCACAUAGUAAGAACGCCUAAAAAUGCCGACACGUUUCUCUUGUCUUAUCUCGAUCUGUCAUAAGAAAUGCGCCGCUGGUGACUUAACUUGUUUGAUUGCCGCCACUGCAAACAAAUGUGCAUGUUUUCGAUGCGAAAAAUGCAAAUCAAGUGCAAUCAGCAACGAUUGAAUGGCCAAUUGAAAAUCGGAAAAUCUGGAAAUCGGGAAAUCGGGAAAUCGGUGGGAAAAUGCAGAAAUGCUCUUUGUGUCACUGGGCGUAUACGCAAUAUAUUGCUAAUUGACUUAAGGCAUACAAUCUGUAACGAGAUCGUCAUCAUCGGGGCAUCCUUAUCUAAGCAUUCAUCCGGAUGUGCACAUGCGAUCGGAUCAAGAGAUCCACACGAUCGAUCCACACGUUUCACCCAAUUCUACCCAACGGCCAAAAUAUAAACAAUACGCAACACGUGAGUCGUGGAUUUUCUUGUGGCCCCCAAAAAGCGAAAGUCUGCCGUGCAAACGAGUGCGCAAUAGAAUGGGCAGAACGAGACGGAGCGCAAGGAAAAUUUGUUUUGCCAAGAAGGAAAAUGGAAAAUCUGAUUUAAUCUUGUUUAUUUCGGACACCCAGAGGAAAAUGUGCCCUGUCUGCGAUUCUGAAUUUCCUAUUGACAAGCCAUUCGAAAGAUGUCCCAAGGAAGAGAGAUAUAUGUAUCCGAAUCGGAAAUCCGUCCGUCCUUCUGAUGCCAAUGGGAGGUCAAAGUGCCGAAAGAGAGAUGAUGAUCAGAUAGAGAAGAAUUCGAAUCGGGAAGGUGGACCAGACCUGUUCGUUCUGGAAUGGGGCAGUUCGGACCCACCAUUCUAUCGGUGCGUGAUGUCGGGCCAAGUGAGCUAAAUGCUCGUGCAGUCAGUCUGCUGAACUCGAAUACGGAUUUGGAUGCCAUUCGGACAUUGCUGAACCGGACGGACACGUGCGAGUUGGCCAGUAGCGAGUAGCUAGUACUUCCCCUGCAAACAGGCCAUAUUUAUCGGGGGUGCUGGUCCAAUUCGAAUUAGCAUGCAAAUACGAGGAGAAACAACGGCCAAGUGAAAAAAUAUUCCCACAAUUUAAAUGCAAAUUUUGAGUAAACAAAACCAGGCGCACAAUA